rnacentral:lncRNA from 1 species
AUGCAGUCAGUCGCCAACUUCUGCGAGCAUCCUAGCUGCAGGAAUAGUCACGAAAAACAUGCAUCAGCCUCCAGGGUGGUUUCAGCAGAAGUGCACACAGUGAUCACCACAGUACGUGUAGUCUUUUAUUCUUGUUGUUGUUGUUUUCUUUUUGACAAUUUUGUCUCUGCUCCUGUAGAACCAUGCAACAUUGUGAUUCAUGCCAGCUGUUCUGUGAAACUUAAAUUAUAGAAUUUAAUAUUUUGUCCUACGCUAAGGUCAGGUGGACCCUUUACCAGUAAUUUUUCAUGAGAUAAUAAUGCAAGUAUCAACAUUGCAAGUCUCAUGUCAUAUCAGUACAGUAGAAAAGGACUGCCUGCUUCUGCCAACUUCUGGUUAUUACUGAUACAGCUAUGAAUACACAUUUAAGUAAACAAGUAUGCCAAAAUGAACAACCUUGAGUACAUGAAUAACCUCAGUUUCCAGACUAAAGCUAUGCCACAAUUCAGUGAAAUUGCACCUACUGAGUAAAGCCCUAUACAGUGUAAAUAUGAUGUCAUCAAAGGCAUUUCAUUAUUGAUUUUGGUUUUGACUGGAACAUUUAGCUAGGUUGCUCUGAAAGUAAUGCUUUCUAUUUAUUUCCAUGGAAACAAAGUGCACAAUAACAGUGUUUGAUAGACCGAAGUCUCAGCUACAAAACACUGUUUUUCAACAUAGUCAUCACCAUUAGCUGUGCAUUUUCACCAGCAAUGAACAAGAACCUACAUGCCGUGCUCAUAAAAAUCUGCACGAGCUGAGGUAACCCACUGUCAUUGUCAACACUGCUGAAAUGCCUCAAUGUGCUCAUAUCCAUUUUUUGGUCUCCAUAAAUGUUCAGCAAGCAUCGAUGAAGGCCAAUGGGUGUAAUUUUUUCUGCUUGGAGGAAUUCAGUCCCACACCUUUGCUUUAUAUUCACUUCCAUGUCAAACACCAUUUUGUCAAACUUCCCAUACGCUGCCAUCUA